AGUGUCCCUUUUACACGUGUGAGGAUAGGGAGUAGUGGAGCUAGUAAUGAUUGGGGGAGAGGAUAGGAGAUAAAUCGUAUGAUCGCUGGCAUAUCGCGAGAAAACGGUUACAGGUGUGGGAGUAGGAGUGAAAAGGACGUGAGUACCCCAGAAGAACCCCACAUAUUUCUAUAAAUAGGGAGAGGGAAGAGUCCUUGUAAUAUCCCUUGUAGCUCUUGUUUCCUCCUUUAUCCUCUCCCCCUUCCUCUUGUUUCCUUUCUCUCUCUCCCUUUAUAGCCCUCUCUAAUUUCCGUCUCUCUCAAAAUCUCAUUGCUUCUUUAAAGCCCUCUCUCUAAUUUCCUUCUCUCUCUCACAGUCUCAUUACUUUUUUAUUAAUCUAUCUUUCUCACACACACACAAUCCAAUUUUUCCUUAUAACCCUCUCUAAUUUCCUCCUCCCUCUCUCCACAUAAAGAGAGAGGAGGCAUGGGUUAUUCCCUCUCUCUCACACACAAAGUAAAGAGGAGACAUGAGUGAUGUUGUUGACAGAAGAUAGAGAGCACAGAUGAUGAUAUGCACAGCCGUUUGCAUCUCACUCCUUUGUGCUCUCUAUGCUUCUGUCAUCACAUUCAACCCCUUCCCCAACCCAUUCUUAUCUCUCUAAUUUAAUUCUUCUCAUUGUCAUAGAUUUUAUAUGUAGCAUUAAUCCAUUUGUUAUAACAUGAUUGUUUUAUUUUUAUUUUUAAAAUUUUUUGCUUUGUAUCUACAGAUCUGGCAGACAUAGUCUGGUACAUAAGUCAUUUUGUUGACUCUAGUAGGCUGUGCAACCUCAGUAAGAACUGCCCAAUCAAUUAUAGAGAUAAAAAGAUUGUAAGGAGGAUGAUUGCGUGGUUCAUACUUCUUGGUCAGGUCGCUGAAGAUACAUUGGCAUGUAUGUCACAGUUCAGAUGGGUCCUCAAGUCUCUGAUUCAAGGAGAUGCACAUAUUCAACAAGCUAUUGAUGAUUGUAUGAAGAGCUGUUCUUAUGAUUUUGAAUUUCAAUUGUAAAACGCAAUUUUUUUUAAUGUAUGAAAGACAACAAAUUUGUGACUUAAACAGUACAUUAAGAGUUCUUUUUUGUUUGUUUAUUCAUGGGUUCUGAAUUUCAAUCGCGGUGUAACUUUUAAUCUAUAACUGACUUGAAAUACAAAGAUUGUGACUAUUCUUUAUUUAUUU